GAAGGAGAGAGGAGAGUGCAAAUCAGAAAGAAUUAGAGUCGUCAACGUCACCUUCCAUCCUCACCUCCUUCCUUUUAUCUCCCCACAGAGUCUGGUGGGCUUCAGGGCCAAGGCAGACCUAGAAGAGAUGUGGCAGGUGCAGCGUUGGAGGCAGAUUAAAGGAGAAUGAUAAAGAGAAUCUUCCCACGGACCCACCCAUCCAUCCUAGUUCAACAAGACAGGAGAAUAAGGAUUUGCACCUUUCCGCCCUCCGCUAGAAGAACUAUAGAUUCAAGGAAAAAGGAGGACAGGAGAGGCAACUCACGUUUAUGAACAACAGAUAAGAGCAUAUUAUCAACGGUUAAAGGAUAUCCCAGGCCCUCCAGCAAAUGCCUUCUGGAAUCAUCUCCACAUUCAGACCCAUCGUAAACAAC
rnacentral:lncRNA from 1 species